rnacentral:lncRNA from 1 species
AUAGUUCAGUUUCAGUGUGGCUAAUAGUGUUAAAAACUGGCCGGGCGCGGUGGCUCACGCCUGUAAUCCCAACACUUUGGGAGGCCGAGGCGGGCGGAUCACCUCAGGACUCCAAGGCUCUAAGGAUGGAAGAGUCAUAAUUGGAAAGAGCCUGGGUACCUGAAUCACUGUAUGGAGGAAAAUCACUUGCUGAGCAGGAACAUCCUCAUUGGACUAGCUAUGUGGGGACACCCACAGGGCCAGAGGUUGAAGGCAUAGGCGUUGACAUCUCCAACUGUUCUGACUCCAGAGUUUUGCUCUUGUUGCCCACGCUGGAGUGCAAUGGCAC